UGGAGGCGAGAAGAAGCGAGUUCACUCGUUACACCGUCACGAUCCGUGAUUGCGAAGGAGCGCGAUGUAAUCGAAUCGAAUUUAAUCGAACCGAAUAAAUUCGCCCCGUUUAUUUGCACGGGGCUCGCGUAAAAUGACCCCAUCGACGAAAAUAACGUUCGAACAGCCUUGAUCGGCACGUACAAAAGGUAGCAGGCUAACGCGACUAUUUUCGUCGACCUUUUCACGUGCGUACACGCGUUCCAGCACGGUACGAUUGCAGCACGGUGUAUAUCGCGGCGACGUGCGUGAGCACAGGUGCACGAAGAAAGGAGCGGCACCAGAGGCGAAGGAAACGAGAGGACGCUGCCUAGAAGAAGGAGGGAAGAAAAGAAGAAAGCGCACUUGCGGUUGCACGAAGAGUAACGAGUGGAUCGACCAUGGAAAUGGAUAAGUAGCAAGCUAACGUCUCGCUUCAGGAACGAUUUACGAGAGAACGAUUUUAUCGCGGAGAAAUCGCUGACAAUGUCUUUACGUAAGUGGAAAGCAGUAAAUUGUUUCUUAAAUUCGUAUUGGAGAAUUACAAUGAAAUUUUCGACGCGUAAAAGGAAACAAUCGGAGAUUGGAUAUUGAUUUACGGAAUAACUUUUUAGAAAACUAUCUUUUCGAGAAGGAUGUGACAAGUGGCUAAACAGCAGUUUGACGUCGAUCUCGAUAACAUGGAACGACAGAUGCUUUUAACGAAGUAUAUAAAUAUUUGGUAUAAAUAAAGUAAAGCAAAAAUUGGAAAAAUCGCAAACGUUGAUUUAAAAAGUAAUUUAUUAAAGAGCUAUAGGUGAAAAAAUAAAGAGCAGAGUUUCUGAUAGAAUGCCCUUUACGCUGGCCGGAAAUGAAAAAGAAAUAUUUUUACAACGCGUAACGAACACGAUGAUAUUAAAAGAAAGUAGCUAAAUUAGAAUUCAUAUUCGCGAAAGCUGUAUUUCGCUAACACAAUGUUGAAUUCGUAUUCACGAAAGCAGCGCUUUGCUAACAAGCGUAAAUAAACAAAUUUUGUAUGGUAAAUUCACGCGUCAUGGAGGUAUACAAACGUACGCGAGGUAAAAAAGCUUAUUUACGGUGAAUAUAACGAGUGAAGUUUUGAAAAAAGAAAAAAAAAAACAAUGAUUAGACGCUGCAAAUAUAUCGUAUUAAUUUCAAAAAGAUAAAGUUAAAACCCCGUUUUUUUCCCCACCCCGAAGAAAAAGAUCUAUCGAGAAACGAUUAGACGUUAUCGUUGAGUAGCACGAUCGAUAUCGGUAAGACGAGCAUCGUGAUAAAGUAUAAAUUUCCAUCAAGAAGUCAAACGUUAAACGUCUCGCGAGUAUCUUUAAGAAAGUGUCACUCAUUCCGAGGCAUCGAAAUUAAGCGAUUACUCGUACUAAGGAGAAAGGUGGUUCGAAUAAGAACAAUUUUUGUCUAUGUAAUCGCGUAUUUCUUCGGUGCGUCGCUAUAUCCGAUAUUUGUUAAUCGCCCAAAUAGAGACAGAGAACGAGAAGCGUUUGUAUUUUCCCUUUAGAUGUUUUCUUCGUUGCCGCGUUAAAGGCAUCGUUGAGUCGCGAAAGGGAAUAGCAGUAAAGACGAAAGUGAUCGAUCCGGAGUCGAUCCGGAGAGCUCCGUCGAUCUCAACGUGACUCGUUCAACGGGAAAAUUAAAAUCAGUUUUCAGCGUAGUGAUUUCUAUCGUUACCUCGAAAUAGUUUCUUCUGCUUUCACGAAAUUUUUAAUUUCAAGUACGAGACGCGUUUUAAACUUUUACCAGCAGUUCGUAGAUUUGAUCGUCGGUCGUUCGUCGUGGUGUUGCGCGAAAUUGUGACAGCAUUAAAAGACAGUGUUCUGCUCGGGAUUUCUGUCUCUAUUCUUUCGCACGUGCAUUUUCCGAUACGCCAUAUGGCCACAGAUAAAAACCACAUGCCGGUAUAUUCCCAUGAACAUCGAGCCGACAGGUACAAAACCUAACAUGUGCUGCGAUGCGCACUGAGCUUUGAUAUUCGUUCGAUUUCAGCGGUAUCUGCUACUAACUAUAUCAUAGAUUUAUAUUGGUAGAUUUAUUGGAAUACAUUAAUUUCAUUAAAUAUCUCUUCCUAUUCUUCUAAACAGCAAGUAGUUGUAUUGAAAAUAUUUGCCCAGUAUUUUCCAUGGCCAAUCUCGCAAUAAAUAUUUUCAUUCCGUUUUUUAAAUUCAUCUUCGGUUAAAUUCGGUUAAAUUCAAAUUCAUUAUACGACACGUAGGAAGCACGUGGCAUCGAUGUUCGUAUGUUCAGGAAGCGAAUACGAGAACAGAUGUUAGAAAUCUAGUUUCUCAAAGUGAUUUCCUC